UCCACAUUUAGACUAUUUAUAAAGCACAACUAUCUUUCAGCAGCUGUUGGAAGGGACCAACAACUGAAGCUCAUUGGUUUUGUUCAUCCCUGAACAGCUGAUCUGUGAGAACUGAGACGACACUUUAAAAAUUAUAAACACGAAAACCUCAAUCUGGUGAAGGGAAACCACUGGUGUGGGCAGAUAAAACCAUAAAUAGACCAUUUUUAUAAAUGCAUAUUUGCUCUUCUAAAAUUUACUUUGAUUGUUCUGAUGUGACUGUAAAUAAACCGGUUUGAAUGGCUUAUGGUUUUGUAGUUGUUAGCUAAUGACCUCAAUAUAUGCUGCAUGCUUUGCUAGGAACGCUGCUGCGUUCAGGCUUUUCGUGACAAUAUAAUUGCUAUAACGUGAAUGGGCUUCUGUGAUCCAGCUUUGCCACAGGGAAUUGAGGUGCCUGUUUGUAUAGAUACAAUUUCUGUACUAAAUUAAGGUGGGAAAGAGCCAGGAGAUGGGAACCACCUGGAGGCUUAGGUCUGUUAUGCUCAACAUUGGUGACUUCCCUGGAAUGGGACAAGGUACAAGAGCCUAUGAAUAAGGAAAAGAAAUAUAUUCUUAAAAUGCAUAUUAAGUUUAAAAAUUGUUUGACCUACCCAAUUUUCAUUAGGUUUCUUUUGACUGACUUUUUCCCCUUUCAAACACGUAUAUCAGCAUUAUCGCUUUGAACUUGGUGAGACAGCAAGACAUGGGUACAAAUCCUUGAUCCUUCCACCAGCUUUCAGGCUUAUCUACCCUGGGGCUCCGUGAAUGCUUUUCUGCACGUGCACAGAGCUACCUAAGAAGUAUCAUAUAAUUUAUAAAGAGAAUUGGAGUUUGACACGACAGACCCCAUCACUAGAGAGAAAAGAGGUUGGUUUCCUCUGAGUCAGAGAAAGUAUUUCUUGCUCAGCACCUCACCGACUUUUCCCCACCCAACACAGACUCAGCCCUGCACAACAACCGGAAAAAUUACAGUCAUUAAUUACGAAUCAGAUGAACAGUGGAGAGAUCCUUUGCUAUAUCAAAUAAAAAUCCCUGUAUUUUUAAAGAUA